AUUAGUUAAGUCUUUAAACCCAAAGAAUUGGCGGUAUCUCAUUCCAUUCAGAGGAACCUGUCCCUUAAUUGAUAAUACACGAUUAACUUUAUUUAAUUUAUUUGUUUGUAUAUCUCCGUUAUCAGAAAAUCUUUUUAGAGUUAUAAUUUUCUUGAUUUAUAAUUAUAAAGUAUUUCAGGUCAAGGUGCAGCUUAUAAUUGAAUGAGGAUGGGUUACAAUAUAUUUAUAUAUAUAUAAUGGAUUUGAUAAUGAAAUAUUAUUAAUGAAGGUGGAUUUGAUAGUAAUUUAAUUUAUUUAAUUUAAUUGAUAUUGGCUCUGAGGUGUGUACACAU
rnacentral:rRNA from 1 species